UACGUAGGGACCAAGCGUUGUUCGGAUUUACUGGGCGUAAAGGGCGCGUAGGCAGCAUGACAAGUCACUUGUGAAAUCUCUGGGCUUAACUCAGAACGGCCAAGUGAUACUGUCGCGCUAGAGUGCAGAAAGGGCAAUCGGAAUUCUUGGUGUAGCGGUGAAAUGCGUAGAUAUCAAGAGGAACACCUGAGGCGAAGGCGGGUUGCUAGGCUGACACUGACGCUGAUGCGCGAAAGCCAGGGGAGCAAACGGG
rnacentral:rRNA from 1 species